GCCCUGGUGGUGUAGUGGUUAGUAGUUUGGCUGCUAACCAAAAGGUCUGUGGUUCGAAUCCACCAGGUGCU
rnacentral:tRNA from 1 species